CGGUAAUUCCAGCUCCAAUAGCGUAUAUUAAAGUUGUUGCAGUUAAAAAGCUCGUAGUUGAACUUCAGACCUGACCGGGCGGUCCGCCUAACGGUGUGUACUGUCUGGCCGGGCCUUACCUCUUGGUGAGCCGGCAUGCCCUUCACUGGGUGUGUCGGGGAACCAGGACCUUUACCUUGAGAAAAUUAGAGUGUUUAAAGCAGGCAAU
rnacentral:rRNA from 1 species